rnacentral:rRNA from 1 species
CUGGACCUCGGAUCAKGCCAGGCUACCCGCUGAAUUUAAGCAUAUUAAUAAGCGGAGGAAAAGAAACUAACAAGGAUUCCCCCAGUAACGGCGAGCGAAGCGGGAAUAGCUCAAAUUUGAAAUCUCCGGUGCUUGCACCGGCGAAUUGUAGUCUGUAGGGCCAGUUUCGCCCGAGACAGCUUCCCCAAAGUCGUCCUGGAAAGGCGAGCCGGAGAGGGUGAGAGCCCCGUACGCGGGGGCGCUGUCGAGGGUAAGAUCUGUGCCCGAAGAGUCGGGUUGUUUGGGAUUGCAGCCCAAAAUGGGUGGUAAACUCCAUCUAAAGCUAAAUACCGGCACGAGACCGAUAGCG